UCUGGUAGCGAUAGCGAAGAGGUCACACCUGUUCUCAUGCCGAACACAGAAGUUAAGUUCUUCAGCGCCGAUGGUAGUUGGGGGCUUCCCCCUGCGAGAGUAGGACGCCGCCAGGC
rnacentral:rRNA from 1 species